rnacentral:rRNA from 1 species
GUGGGGAAUUUUGGACAAUGGGCGCAAGCCUGAUCCAGCAAUGCCGCGUGUGUGAAGAAGGCCUUCGGGUUGUAAAGCACUUUUGGCAGGAAAGAAAUAGUGCGUGCUAAUACCAUGCGCGAAUGACGGUACCUGCAGAAUAAGCACCGGCUAACUACGUGCCAGCAGCCGCGGUAAGACGUAGGGUGCAAGCGUUAAUCGGAAUUACUGGGCGUAAAGCGUGCGCAGGCGGUUUUGUAAGACAGGUGUGAAAUCCCCGGGCUCAACCUGGGAACUGCACUUGUGACUGCAAGGCUAGAGUGUGUCAGAGGGAGGUGGAAUUCCGCGUGUAGCAGUGAAAUGCGUAGAGAUGCGGAGGAACACCGAUGGCGAAGGCAGCCUCCUGGGAUAACACUGACGCUCAGGCAUGAAAGCGUGGGGAGCAAACAGGAUUAGAUACCCGUGUAGUCC